rnacentral:rRNA from 1 species
CCUACGGGAGGCUGCAGUGGGGAAUAUUGGGCAAUGGGCGCAAGCCUGACCCAGCAACGCCGCGUGAAGGAAGAAGGCUUUCGGGUUGUAAACUUCUUUUCUCAGGGACGAAGCAAGUGACGGUACCUGAGGAAUAAGCCACUGCUAACUACGUGCCAGCAGCCGCGGUAAUACGUAGGUGGCAAGCGUUAUCCGGAUUUACUGGGGGGAAAGGGCGUGUAGGCGGGGACGCAAGUCAGAUGUGAAAACCUCGGGCUCGAACUGUGGCCGGCAUUUGAAACUGUGUUUCUUGAGUGCUGGAGAGGCAGACGGAAUUCCUGGUGUAGCGGUGAAAUGCGUAGAUAUUAGGAGGAACACCAGUGGCGAAGGCGGUCUGCUGGACAGCAACUGACGCUGAGGCGCGAAAGCGUGGGGAGCAAACAGGAUUAGAUACCCCAGUAGUC